UGGAAUUUGCUGUUGAAGUCACAGUUUGCA
rnacentral:piRNA from 1 species